CUCCAUGUAUCUUUAAGACCUGAGAGAUGUGGCAGUCUCCUUGAUGGAUGAGCAUGUUCUUGCUUAUUGCCAAAGUUGUCACCAUUUGUUUGGUAUCAGAUUCUGACUUGCACAAGUGAAAUUC
rnacentral:snoRNA from 1 species